rnacentral:rRNA from 1 species
UACGUAGGGUGCAAGCGUUAAUCGGAAUUACUGGGCGUAAAGCGUGCGCAGGCGGUUAUGCAAGACAGAUGUGAAAUCCCCGGGCUUAACCUGGGAACCGCAUUUGUGACUGCAUAGCUGGAGUACGGCAGAGGGGGAUGGAAUUCCGCGUGUAGCAGUGAAAUGCGUAGAUAUGCGGAGGAACACCGAUGGCGAAGGCAGCCCCCUGGGCCAACACUGACGCUCAGGCACGAAAGCGUGGGGAGCAAACAGG